GCCUGGGUGGCUCAGUCGGUUAAGCGUCUGACUUUGGCUCAGGUCACGAUCUCACGGUCCGUGAGUUCGAGCCCCAUGUCAGGCU
rnacentral:tRNA from 1 species